rnacentral:rRNA from 1 species
AUUGAACGCUGGCGGAAUGCUUUACACAUGCAAGUCGAACGAUGAGACCUAGCUUGCUAGGUUGAUUAGUGGCGAACGGGUGAGUAAUGUAUCGGAACGUAUCCAAUAAUGGGGGAUAACUAACCGACAGGUUAGCUAAUACCGCAUACGCCCUACGGGGGAAAGCAGGGGAUCUUCGGACCUUGCGUUAAUGGAGCGGCCGAUAUCUGAUUAGCUAGUUGGUGAGGUAAAGGCCCACCAAGGCGACGAUCAGUAGCUGGUCUGAGAGGACGACCAGCCACACGGGAACUGAGACACGGUCCAGACUCCUACGGGAGGCAGCAGUGGGGAAUUUUGGACAAUGGGCGAAAGCCUGAUCCAGCCAUUCCGCGUGAGUGAAGAAGGCCUUCGGGUUGUAAAGCUCUAUCGCAAGGGAAGAAAACUUACUUUCUAAUAAAGGGUGAGGUUGACGGUACCUUGAUAAGAAGCACCGGCUAACUACGUGCCAGCCGCCGCCGUAA